rnacentral:rRNA from 1 species
GACUCAACACGGGGAAACUCACCAGGUCCAGACACGAUGAGGAUUGACAGAUUGAGAGCUCUUUCUUGAUUUCGUGGGUGGUGGUGCAUGGCCGUUCUUAGUUGGUGGAGUGAUUUGUCUGCUUAAUUGCGAUAACGAACGAGACCUUAACCUGCUAAAUAGCCCGUAUUGCUUUGGCAGUACGCUGGCUUCUUAGAGGGACUAUCGGCUCAAGCCGAUGGAAGUUUGAGGCAAUAACAGGUCUGUGAUGCCCUUAGAUGUUCUGGGCCGCACGCGCGCUACACUGACAGAGCCAGCGAGUACUCCCUUGGCCGGAAGGCCCGGGUAAUCUUGUUAAACUCUGUCGUGCUGGGGAUGGAGCAUUGCAAUUAUUGCUCUUCAACGAGGAAUCCCUAGUAAGCGCAAGUCAUCAGCUUGCGUUGAUUACGUCCCUGCCCUUUGUACACACCGCCCGUCGCUACUACCGAUUGAAUGGCUCAGUGAGGCUUCCGGACUGGCCCAGGGAGGUCGGCAACGACCACUCAGGGCCGGAAAGCUAUCCAAACUCGGUCAUUUAGAGGAAGUAAAAGUCGUAACAAGGUUU